CGAGGAGGGGGUUCUCCCCCGCUCGGAGCGCGCGGCUGGGGAAGAAGCUGGCGGGAAGCCGGGCCGCGCGCCGAGGAAUCGAUGAUUCGGCCUGUGGGCCGGGUCACUGCGGCGGGGCCCGGGGAGCGCCGAUAGCAUGGAUAGGCUCAGAGGGGCGCAGGGUUUUGGCGGCUUCCCGAGUUCCCCUCGCCGACCGCCAUGUCACAUCUUACGGAAGAGGCGGGGGCUGCCGCGGAGAGGAUAUUUUUUGUUUUGUUUUGUUUUCACAAGUGUGGAAUGCAUCAGUUAAAAUCUCAAGAAACCCCGAGGCAGAGGAUUAAGAGAUACUGAAGAGAAGAUGAGUCUGUGUGCAUUUAUCUGUGCUUAGCCUGCUCCGAAUGGGAACUCAGCUCUCAAAUGAAGGUGUGUGUGGUAUGUGAUGGUGGAAGUAACCAGCAGCCAGGCAAAUGGCAGAGCGUGGCCCUUUUCCACCUCCAUGUGUAAUAAUUGCAGGACUCCCUUCCCAGAUGCACCAAGACUCAACACCUAGACCCACGAGAGUAGAUGCUCAGGAAAGAUUUGCUGACUGAACACAUGAUUGUGUCUACGCCUAGCAGUACUUUGUUGCGGGAUGGGCCCUGGCAGGGUUGGUAAAGCCCUCAUUUGUAGACAUGGAACCUCCCAGCUCCAGCCCUGCUAAGAACUGACAGAACUUGGCUAGCUCCAUGUUUUGUUCACGUGACUCUCAACCUGGUGUGGCCUGGACUCUAGUCCCUGCCUCAAGGAAAGUCCAGACUGACAUAGAAAAUCCCUGCUCACCAGCCUUGACCUUGGGAGAAAGCCCCUGACCUGUGAGUGGACAGAAGGCCUGGUGGUCAGCCCGUGGGAGCCCUGGAGCGUGCACUGCUGGAGCAGCUCAGAAAAAGCUGAGAAGCCAAGACUUGACUGUCAGUCCUGGAGAAUUAGAACAUGCCUGCUAAAUUUCAGUCCACUCUGAGGAAGGGGCAGUGCCCACAAGGAAACCUAGUGGGUGGGGUUCUGGCUGGGACUCAUCUGGAGUUCCCAGGGCAGAUGCCCGGCCCCAGCUUAUAGACCAUGAUGCGGCUGGGCUUCCGUGUCUGAUUCUUAAGUGCCUCAGGUAAACAGACUCUCCUUUGCUUUGCCAGGAGGAAUGACAUUACUAUCAGCAUUGUAAAAGUCUGUGGCCUUUGGGAGAGUAAUUUUACUUCUAAGACUCUCCUCUACAGAGAAGUGUGCACACUGUUCCCAGUGGAGUCUAUAAAGAUAGCAAAGAGCAAAGACUUAAAACAGAAUGGCUCUGGGUUUGAAGUGUUGUGUAUCUAGACAAUGAACAGCCCACCUUUAAACAAGCCCCACAUGGACUGAAGCGGAGGCAGCUCCAAAUGUAUUAGGUGACAGUGCCACAUGGCUCUGUGUGAUGGUAAGAUUAUAUGUGUACAUGUCAUCUCGAAAGGAGAAUUCGGCUUAUCUCUGGGGAGAGAGUCUGCAUCUUUUCUCAUUUGUACCGAGUAUGGAGUGUGUAUCUAUCUCUCUGUCAGAAAUGUCAAGGGAAGGGUUCACCAUUGACCUGAUGCUCACGAAGGUUAGGAACCAAUGCCAACCACAAUGCCCACCUCUACCUUCAGGAGACAGUAAACGCCUUAGAAUACAAAACCCAUAAACAACCAAGACUGUGGUGCCUGCUGGGGCUGGGCCUGAGCUGCACACAGAGGCUAGGUACCGAACAGCUGCCAUGGUAAACUGGCACAGUUAGGCACGCGGCCGGGUUCACACGCCCUCUGCCCUGACUUUAAAGACAGCAGUCUUGGCCCAGCUUCCCUCACCCCCUAUGUAUGAGCAGAGAGCUAUACUUGCUGGGUUUCCAGCUCUUGUAUUUGGACUCCUCUUCUCUUUUCUCUUUUUUGAGAGAGGGUCUCACUGUGUAUUCGUGGCUGCUCUGGAACUUCCUGGACCAGGCUGGCCUUGAUGUAGAUCUCUGCCUUCUAAAAAAUAAAAAUAUGUUUUAUGUGUA
ensembl:processed_transcript E130307A14Rik RIKEN cDNA E130307A14 gene